rnacentral:rRNA from 1 species
AUUGAACGCUGGCGGCAGGCCCAACACAUGCAAGUCGAGCGGCAGCGGGACCUUCGGGUUGCCGGCGAGCGGCGGACGGGUGAGUAAUGCCUAGGAAUCUGCCUGUUAGUGGGGGAUAACGCGGGGAAACUCGCGCUAAUACCGCAUACGUCCUACGGGAGAAAGUGGGGGACCUUCGGGCCUCACGCUAACAGAUGAGCCUAGGUCGGAUUAGCUAGUUGGUGGGGUAACGGCCCACCAAGGCGACGAUCCGUAACUGGUCUGAGAGGAUGAUCAGUCACACUGGAACUGAGACACGGUCCAGACUCCUACGGGAGGCAGCAGUGGGGAAUAUUGGACAAUGGGCGAAAGCCUGAUCCAGCCAUGCCGCGUGUGUGAAGAAGGUCUUCGGAUUGUAAAGCACUUUAAGCCGGGAGGAAGGGCUGUAGGCGAAUACCCUGCAGUCUUGACGUUACCGGCAGAAUAAGCACCGGCUAACCUCGUGCCAGCCGCCGCCGUAAAAC